rnacentral:rRNA from 1 species
GAGGAAAGAGGGAGGCGUGCCUAAUACAUGCAAGUCGAGCGAACAGAUGAGGAGCUUGCUCCUCUGACGUUAGCGGCGGACGGGUGAGUAACACGUGGAUAACCUACCUAUAAGACUGGGAUAACUUCGGGAAACCGGAGCUAAUACCGGAUAAUAUAUUGAACCGCAUGGUUCAAUAGUGAAAGACGGUUUUGCUGUCACUUAUAGAUGGAUCCGCGCCGCAUUAGCUAGUUGGUAAGGUAACGGCUUACCAAGGCAACGAUGCGUAGCCGACCUGAGAGGGUGAUCGGCCACACUGGAACUGAGACACGGUCCAGACUCCUACGGGAGGCAGCAGUAGGGAAUCUUCCGCAAUGGGCGAAAGCCUGACGGAGCAACGCCGCGUGAGUGAUGAAGGUCUUCGGAUCGUAAAACUCUGUUAUUAGGGAAGAACAAAUGUGUAAGUAACUAUGCACAUCUUGACGGUACCUAAUCAGAAAGCCACGGCUAACUACGUG